rnacentral:rRNA from 1 species
AGAGUUUGAUCCUGGCUCAGAUUGAACGCUGGCGGCAGGCCUAACACAUGCAAGUCGAGCGGUAGAGAGAAGCUUGCUUCUCUUGAGAGCGGCGGACGGGUGAGUAAUGCCUAGGAAUCUGCCUAGUGGUGGGGGAUAACGUUCGGAAACGGACGCUAAUACCGCAUACGUCCUACGGGAGAAAGCGGGGGAUCUUCGGACCUCGCGCCAUUAGAUGAGCCUAGGUCGGAUUAGCUAGUUGGUGAGGUAAUGGCUCACCAAGGCGACGAUCCGUAACUGGUCUGAGAGGAUGAUCAGUCACACUGGAACUGAGACACGGUCCAGACUCCUACGGGAGGCAGCAGUGGGGAAUAUUGGACAAUGGGCGAAAGCCUGAUCCAGCCAUGCCGCGUGUGUGAAGAAGGUCUUCGGAUUGUAAAGCACUUUAAGUUGGGAGGAAGGGUAGUAACCUAAUACGUUGCUACUUUGACGUUACCGACAGAAUAAGCACCGGCUAACUUCGUGCCAGCAGCCGCGGUAAU